GGGGGGGGGGGGGGGGGGGGGGGGGGGGGGGGGGGGGGGCGGGGGGGGCCGGGGUGUGUGGGGUGCUCGAGUGGCGAACGGGUGGGUAGCACGGGAGUAACCUGCCCUUGACUUUGGGAUAACUUCAGGAAACUGGGGCUGAUACCGGAUAGGAGCGCCUGCUGCAUGGUGGGGGUUGGAAAGUUUCGGCGGUUGGGGAUGGACUCGCGGCUGAUCAGCUGGUUGGUGGGGUAGUGGCCUACCAAGGCUUUGAAGGGUAGCCGGCCUGAGAGGGUGACCGGCGACAUUGGGACGGAGAUACGGCCCAGAAGCCUACGGGAGGCAGCAGUGGGGAAUAUUGCACAAUGGGCGGAAGCAUGAUGCAGCAACGCCGCGUGCGGGAUGACGGCCUUCGGGUUGUAAACCGCUUUCGCCUGUGACGAAGCGUGAGUGACGGUAAUGGGUAAAGAAGCACCGGCUAACUACGUG
rnacentral:rRNA from 1 species